GUGCUUGCUUCGGCAGCACGUAUACUAAAAUUGGAAUGAUUUAGAGAAAAAUAGCAUGGCCCCUAUACCAGGAUGACAUGCAAAUUUGUUAAGUGUUCCAUGUUAAA